AGAGUUUGAUCCUGGCUCAGGACGAACGCUGGCGGCGCGCCUAACACAUGCAAGUCGAACGCGAAAAGCAGUAAUGCUGAGUAGAGUGGCGCACGGGUGAGUAACACGUAAAUGACACGUCUUGGGGAGAGGGAUAACCGUUCGAAAGGAUGGCUAAUACCUCAUAAGCCCACGUCUUUGGAGAUGAGGGAAAAGGGUUGGGACCUUUCGAGGCCAAUCGCUUCUUGAGUGGUUUGCGGCCCAUCAGCUAGUUGGCGAGGUAACGGCUCACCAAGGCUAAGACGGGUAGCUGGUCUGAGAGGAUGAUCAGCCACACUGGAACUGAGACACGGUCCAGACUCCUACGGGAGGCAGCAGUGGGGAAUCUUGCGCAAUGGGAGCAAUCCUGACGCAGCAACGCCGCGUGGGUGAUGAAGGUCUUCGGAUCGUAAAGCCCUGUCGGAGGGGAAGAUGCUUGUCAUAGCUAACAGUGAUGACAGGUGACGGUACCCUCAAAGGAAGCACCGGCUAACUCUGUGCCAGCAGCCGCGGUAAU
rnacentral:rRNA from 1 species